UGAGGAAUAUUGGUCAAUGGACGGAAGUCUGAACCAGCCAAGUAGCGUGCAGGAUGACGGCCCUAUGGGUUGUAAACUGCUUUUGUAUGGGGAUAAAGUUAGGGACGUGUCCCUAUUUGCAGGUACCAUAUGAAUAAGGACCGGCUAAUUCCGUGCCAGCAGCCGCGGUAAUACGGAAGGUUCAGGCGUUAUCCGGAUUUAUUGGGUUUAAAGGGAGCGUAGGCUGGAGAUUAAGUGUGUUGUGAAAUGUAGACGCUCAACGUCUGACUUGCAGCGCAUACUGGUUUCCUUGAGUACGCACAACGUUGGCGGAAUUCGUCGUGUAGCGGUGAAAUGCUUAGAUAUGACGAAGAACUCCGAUUGCGAAGGCAGCUUGCGGGAGCACAACUGACGCUGAAGCUCGAAGGUGCGGGUAUCAAACAGGAUUAGAUACCCUGGUAGUCCGCACAGUAAACGAUGGAUGCCCGUUGUUAGUUCACUUAGGAAUUAGCGACCAAGCGAAAGCAUUAAGCAUCCCACCUGGGGAGUACGCCGGCAACGGUG
rnacentral:rRNA from 1 species